rnacentral:rRNA from 1 species
AGUGAACGCUGGCGGCAGGCCUAACACAUGCAAGUCGAGCGGCAGCGCGUCCGACCACCCUCGGGUGGUCGGAUGGCGGCGAGCGGCGGACGGGUGAGGAAUGCAUCGGAAUCUGCCUCGUUGUGGGGGAUAACGUAGGGAAACUUACGCUAAUACCGGCAUACGACCUACGGGUGAAAGUGGGGGACCUUCGGGCCUCACGCGAUGAGAUGAGCCGAUGCCGGAUUAGCUAGUUGGCGGGGUAAAGGCCCACCAAGGCGACGAUCCGUAGCUGGUCUGAGAGGAUGAUCAGCCACACUGGAACUGAGACACGGGUCCAGACUCCUACGGGAGGCAGCAGUGGGGAAUAUUGGACAAUGGGCGAAAGCCUGAUCCAGCAAUGCGCGUGAGUGAUGAAGGCCUAGGGUGUAAAGCNUUUACCAGGGAUGAUAAUGACAGUACCUGGAGAAUAAGCUCCGGCUAACUCCGUGCCAGCAGCCGCGGUAA